rnacentral:lncRNA from 1 species
AUGGAAGAGAAAGGGAGGUUUGGCGGGUUCAUGGUGACACUUCUGAAAUGGUAUCUGGAAAGUGCUAAAAAUGUGACGCCUCCAGGAAAUUGUUCUGAAACUGGAAACCAGCAGGAAAUUGACCUGAAUAGACCACAGGCAACAUUCAGAGCAUUGUUUAAAACAUAUUCCUUUAUAAGAGCCGUAACAUUUUUUUCAUAAGUGCAACAGCACUCAUAUUCAAAGUUCUGAACCCAGUACAUAUAAGUUGACCUGUAGUGCAAUAUCAUCAUAAGUUAUAGCACAGGGAGGCUUACAUUUUUUAUGGGAUUAGGAGUUUAUCUUCACAGCCUGUGUAGGAUCAUUGCUGCAUAUCACGACCACCAUUAAAAGCUUGCAAAGUUUCCGUGAGGACAAAUUUUUACUAUUAUGAAGUCACCUAAAGAUGUUUUGGAGGAAACUACUGUUUAGUUGAUUAUUUCAUAUUUUACUGAACUUUUUUCCAUUGAUUAUAAUUUUUUUUCAAACAGACGCCAUCAGCACUGCUCCUAAGUACGAUGGUCUCCUGUAGAGAUGCUCAAACUACUGUUUGGAGUUUGAAAUACUCUCACAUAAAUAAGUAAAAAAAAAUGAUAUUAAUCAAGCUCUGUAGAAAAUCUAACACAUGACCCUCAUUUUAUUUGAUUCUAAAGUGAAAUUCGUUCAGCUCUUUUGUAACCUUCCUUUUUGAAGCCUUAUGUUUUACAGUCAGUUGAACUCACAAGCUGAGCUUGCCCUUUCUGUAUCAUCUUCCGGUCGCCAUUCUCCAGAUGGAAUUUUCUCUUCCAUCUUUUACGCGGCACACCAUAAUCACAUGUUCUGCUCUUUUAUAUAGCUUUACUUUGCAACUGCAAUCUGGCGCCUGCUUUGCUUCUCUUUACAACACCUAAGGGUGCACAUGACUUUGAGAAAUAACUUCCAAUGAACUGCCAUCCUAAGAUACUACAUAAACGAAAGGAAAUACACAUGUAUCAAGGACAGGAAGGAAAUCAUAUAUCUACCUCAAGUUUAGGGAGAGGCAUGUUUUAUAUAACUUUUUCCACAUCCUUAUAAUUAUUUCUACAUUCUGGAAAUGUAUAUGCUCACUAUGUGCAAGACAUACACAGGACAUGAAAAUCAGAAACUUUCCUCUAGCUCUUUAUGCAUCUGGCUGAAAUAAUAAAUAAAAAAGUGACUUUAAAUAGCCUAUGUUU